GAUGAACGCUGGCGGCGUGCCUAAUACAUGCAAGUCGAACGCGAGCACUUGUGCUCGAGUGGCGAACGGGUGAGUAAUACAUAAGUAACCUGCCCUAGACAGGGGGACAACUAUUGGAAACGAUAGCUAAUACCGCAUGACAAUAGGGUACACAUGUACCCUAUUUAAAAGGGGCAAAUGCUUCACUAUGAGAUGGACCUGCGUUGUAUUAGCUAGUUGGUAAGGUAACGGCUUACCAAGGCGACGAUACAUAGCCGACCUGAGAGGGUGAUCGGCCACACUGGGACUGAGACACGGCCCAG
rnacentral:rRNA from 1 species